AGCGUACACGGUGGAUGCCCUGGCAGUCAGAGGCGAUGAAGGACGUGCUAAUCUGCGAUAAGCGUCGGUAAGGUGAUAUGAACCGUUAUAACCGGCGAUUUCCGAAUGGGGAAACCCAGUGUGAUUCGUCACACUAUCAUUAACUGAAUCCAUAGGUUAAUGAGGCGAACCGGGGGAACUGAAACAUCUAAGUACCCCGAGGAAAAGAAAUCAACCGAGAUUCCCCCAGUAGCGGCGAGCGAACGGGGAGCAGCCCAGAGCCUGAAUCAGUGUGUGUGUUAGUGGAAGCGUCUGGAAAGGCGCGCGAUACAGGGUGACAGCCCCGUACACAAAAAUGCACAUACUGUGAGCUCGAUGAGUAGGGCGGGACACGUGGUAUCCUGUCUGAAUAUGGGGGGACCAUCCUCCAAGGCUAAAUACUCCUGACUGACCGAUAGUGAACCAGUACCGUGAGGGAAAGGCGAAAAGAACCCCGGCGAGGGGAGUGAAAAAGAACCUGAAACCGUGUACGUACAAGCAGUGGGAGCACAGAGCAAUCUGUGUGACUGCGUACCUUUUGUAUAAUGGGUCAGCGACUUAUAUUCUGUAGCAAGGUUAACCGAAUAGGGGAGCCGAAGGGAAACCGAGUCUUAACUGGGCGUUAAGUUGCAGGGUAUAGACCCGAAACCCGGUGAUCUAGCCAUGGGCAGGUUGAAGGUUGGGUAACACUAACUGGAGGACCGAACCGACUAAUGUUGAAAAAUUAGCGGAUGACUUGUGGCUGGGGGUGAAAGGCCAAUCAAACCGGGAGAUAGCUGGUUCUCCCCGAAAGCUAUUUAGGUAGCGCCUCGUGAAUUCAUCUCCGGGGGUAGAGCACUGUUUCGGCAAGGGGGUCAUCCCGACUUACCAACCCGAUGCAAACUGCGAAUACCGGAGAAUGUUAUCACGGGAGACACACGGCGGGUGCUAACGUCCGUCGUGAAGAGGGAAACAACCCAGACCGCCAGCUAAGGUCCCAAAGUCAUGGUUAAGUGGGAAACGAUGUGGGAAGGCCCAGACAGCCAGGAUGUUGGCUUAGAAGCAGCCAUCAUUUAAAGAAAGCGUAAUAGCUCACUGGUCGAGUCGGCCUGCGCGGAAGAUGUAACGGGGCUAAACCAUGCACCGAAGCUGCGGCAGCGACGCUUAUGCGUUGUUGGGUAGGGGAGCGUUCUGUAAGCCUGCGAAGGUGUGCUGUGAGGCAUGCUGGAGGUAUCAGAAGUGCGAAUGCUGACAUAAGUAACGAUAAAGCGGGUGAAAAGCCCGCUCGCCGGAAGACCAAGGGUUCCUGUCCAACGUUAAUCGGGGCAGGGUGAGUCGACCCCUAAGGCGAGGCCGAAAGGCGUAGUCGAUGGGAAACAGGUUAAUAUUCCUGUACUUGGUGUUACUGCGAAGGGGGGACGGAGAAGGCUAUGUUGGCCGGGCGACGGUUGUCCCGGUUUAAGCGUGUAGGCUGGUUUUCCAGGCAAAUCCGGAAAAUCAAGGCUGAGGCGUGAUGACGAGGCACUACGGUGCUGAAGCAACAAAUGCCCUGCUUCCAGGAAAAGCCUCUAAGCAUCAGGUAACAUCAAAUCGUACCCCAAACCGACACAGGUGGUCAGGUAGAGAAUACCAAGGCGCUUGAGAGAACUCGGGUGAAGGAACUAGGCAAAAUGGUGCCGUAACUUCGGGAGAAGGCACGCUGAUAUGUAGGUGAAGUCCCUCGCGGAUGGAGCUGAAAUCAGUCGAAGAUACCAGCUGGCUGCAACUGUUUAUUAAAAACACAGCACUGUGCAAACACGAAAGUGGACGUAUACGGUGUGACGCCUGCCCGGUGCCGGAAGGUUAAUUGAUGGGGUUAGCGCAAGCGAAGCUCUUGAUCGAAGCCCCGGUAAACGGCGGCCGUAACUAUAACGGUCCUAAGGUAGCGAAAUUCCUUGUCGGGUAAGUUCCGACCUGCACGAAUGGCGUAAUGAUGGCCAGGCUGUCUCCACCCGAGACUCAGUGAAAUUGAACUCGCUGUGAAGAUGCAGUGUACCCGCGGCAAGACGGAAAGACCCCGUGAACCUUUACUAUAGCUUGACACUGAACAUUGAGCCUUGAUGUGUAGGAUAGGUGGGAGGCUUAGAAGUGUGGACGCCAGUCUGCAUGGAGCCGACCUUGAAAUACCACCCUUUAAUGUUUGAUGUUCUAACGUUGACCCGUAAUCCGGGUUGCGGACAGUGUCUGGUGGGUAGUUUGACUGGGGCGGUCUCCUCCUAAAGAGUAACGGAGGAGCACGAAGGUUGGCUAAUCCUGGUCGGACAUCAGGAGGUUAGUGCAAUGGCAUAAGCCAGCUUGACUGCGAGCGUGACGGCGCGAGCAGGUGCGAAAGCAGGUCAUAGUGAUCCGGUGGUUCUGAAUGGAAGGGCCAUCGCUCAACGGAUAAAAGGUACUCCGGGGAUAACAGGCUGAUACCGCCCAAGAGUUCAUAUCGACGGCGGUGUUUGGCACCUCGAUGUCGGCUCAUCACAUCCUGGGGCUGAAGUAGGUCCCAAGGGUAUGGCUGUUCGCCAUUUAAAGUGGUACGCGAGCUGGGUUUAGAACGUCGUGAGACAGUUCGGUCCCUAUCUGCCGUGGGCGCUGGAGAACUGAGGGGGGCUGCUCCUAGUACGAGAGGACCGGAGUGGACGCAUCACUGGUGUUCGGGUUGUCAUGCCAAUGGCACUGCCCGGUAGCUAAAUGCGGAAGAGAUAAGUGCUGAAAGCAUCUAAGCACGAAACUUGCCCCGAGAUGAGUUCUCCCUGACUCCUUGA
rnacentral:rRNA from 1 species